rnacentral:lncRNA from 1 species
GGGGGGGGGGGCUAGGAUGAAAUUUGAAAAAAAUAGGCAGGACAGGAGUUUUGAGUGAGAAAAAAAAGGCAGGAUGAGACACUUUGCCAAAAAAAAAAGGCAGGAUGACAAUUUAGGUAAAAAGAGUCAGGAUAAACUAAUAAAAAAAAAGGCAGGACCGAAUAGAGUGAAAAAUAAAAAGGCAGGACAGAGAUUACAACUAAAAAAAAUGCAGGACAAAAUUUUUCAUCCUAGCCCCCCCAUAAAAAUUUGAUGAAAUUUGAAAAAAAUAGGCAGGACAGGAGUUUUGAGUGAGAAAAAAGGCAGGAUGAGACACUUUGCCAAAAAAAAAAGGCAGGAUGAGACACUUUGCCAAAAAAAAAGGCAGGAUGACAAUUUAGGUAAAAAGAGUCAGGAUAAACUAAUAAAAAAAGGCAGGACCGAAUAGAGUGAAAAAUAAAAAGGCAGGACAGAGAUUACAACAAAAAAAAAAUGCAGGACAAAAUUUUUCAUCCUAGCCCCCCCCCCCCCCCCCCCCCCCCCAUAAAAAUUUGAUGAAAUUUGAAAAAAAUAGGCAGGACAGGAGUUUUGAGUGAGAAAAAAAGGCAGGAUGAGACACUUUGCCAAAAAAAAGGCAGGAUGAGACACUUUGCCAAAAAAAAAGGCAGGAUGACAAUUUAGGUAAAAAGAGUCAGGAUAAACUAAUAAAAAAAAGGCAGGACCGAAUAGAGUGAAAAAUAAAAAGGCAGGACAGAGAUUACAACUAAAAAAAAUGCAGGACAAAAUUUUUCAUCCUAGCCCCCCC